AUUGAACGCUGGCGGCAUGCUUUACACAUGCAAGUCGAACGGCAGCGCGGGCUUCGGCCUGGCGGCGAGUGGCGAACGGGUGGGUAAUGCAUCGGUAACUGCCCAGUAGUGGGGGAUAGACUGGCGUAAGCCGGAUUAAUACCGCAUCCGAUCCUAGGUUGAAAGGCAGGGUCCUAAAGGCCUCGCACUAUUGGAUCGUCCUUUGUGGGGUUAGCUAGGUGGUUUGGCAAAGGGUUACCAAGGCGACGAUCCGUAGCUGGGCUGAGAGGGCGACCAGCCACACUGGGACUGAGACACGGCCCAGACUCCUACGGGAGGCAGCAGUAGGGAAUUUUGGACAAUGGGGGCAAGCCUGAUCCAGCCACGCCGCGUGCGGGAAGAAGGUCUUCGGGUUGUAAACCGCUUUUGUUCGGGAAGAAAACCUCUGGACUAAUAUCCCGGGGGGAUGACGGUACCGGAAGAAUAAGCACCGGCUAACUACGUG
rnacentral:rRNA from 1 species